UACAGAGGGUGCAAGCGUUAAUCGGAAUUACUGGGCGUAAAGCGUGCGUAGACGGUUACAUAAGUCGGGUGUGAAAGCCCCCGGGCUCAACCUGGGAAUUGCAUUCGAGACUGCGUAGCUAGGGUGCGGAAGAGGGAAGCGGAAUUUCCGGUGUAGCGGUGAAAUGCGUAGAUAUCGGAAGGAACACCAGUGGCGAAAGCGGCUUCCUGGUCCAGCACCGACGUUCAGGCACGAAAGCGUGGGAGCAAACAGGG
rnacentral:rRNA from 1 species